CUAUGGGUAGAUUCUCAAUUAAUUAUUUCUUUAAAUAAUUUUUAGUAAUUAAUCUUAUCUUAUAUUUUAUUUCAAUAGGCGAUGGGCCUCCACUGAAAGUUUUGGUUAGGUCAAACUAUUAACAUGAACCUAUUCAGUGUUUCUAACUAAUGAAUGAUCAGGCUCAAGGAUGGCUCGAUCAAUCCAACCAUCAUCAGAUAGUACAACAGAGUCAUCAUAUGAUGAAUGAUAAUUUCAUCAUUCAGAGAGAACACC
rnacentral:lncRNA from 1 species